AAUUCACCGCGAAGUGGCGAAUAAUUCGCCACGAAUAUUUUGUGAGCGUCACAUCUGUAUGGUUGCAUGUCAACAAUAGAAAAUCUUGAAAUCUUUGUAAUGGACGACGAGUCGGUUAUAAACUGGACUUGGUAUAACCACCAACUGCAGUGGUUAUUGUAUAUGUACAAUAUGUACAAUAAGCAAAUUAUUAUUAUAUUGUACAGAAAAGAAAAGCUGCUGCAGUUGCAGCUACACUUUUACAUUUGAGAAAAAGUGAAAAAAAAAGAUAUUGUAAAAAGAAAUAUUGGAUAGCACCCAUUUUUCAAGAAAGAAAAGUGCAUGGAUUCUUUCAUGCUGUGCUACCUAAACUCGUUUUAGAAGAUUUGAGAUUUAAUAAUUACAUACGCACGUCUGCAACUCAAUUUGAAAAGUUAACAUUCUUAGUUGGAGCAGACAUAUUCGCUCCUUGCGAAUAUUCGCUACAAGCUGAAACUUUUCAGCGAACAGCGAUUACUCGCUAGCGAACAGCGAAUGAUCACGUGACCAUCAUUCGCGGCGAUUAUUUCGCUGCAUGAAACGGCACCUUCAUGGUAUACCAUGGAAACACUGCUAGAUAUCACCACGGCCUCAUGUUAAAAUCGAGGUAGUAGUACGACUCGACGGCAAAACGUUCGCAACUCUAUUUUCAUCAAUUUUCAAUAAAUAGUAUUGUUCAACGACGAGAUGGACUUUCGAAUACAACUCAACAGCGACUCGAGAAAACUUAUUAUAUAAUAUAUAAUUAUAAAUAUUAUAACAAUAUUAGAAAGCUUAUGAAAUAUAAAAGUGAUUAAAAUGUUCAAUAAAUGAAACAAAUGUUUCAUUAGUACGAAAAAUUAGUAUUAAAA